GAUGAACGCUGGCGGCGUGCUUAACACAUGCAAGUCGAACGGUGAAGGCGGAGCUUGCUCUGCUGGAUCAGUGGCGAACGGGUGAGUAACACGUGAGCAAUCUGCCCCUGACUCUGGGAUAAGCGCUGGAAACGGCGUCUAAUACUGGAUACGAGCUGCGAAGGCAUCUUCAGCAGCUGGAAAGAACUUCGGUCAGGGAUGAGCUCGCGGCCUAUCAGCUUGUUGGUGAGGUAACGGCUCACCAAGGCGUCGACGGGUAGCCGGCCUGAGAGGGUGACCGGCCACACUGGGACUGAAACACGGCCCAGACUCCUACGGGAGGCAGCAGUGGGGAAUAUUGCACAAUGGGCGAAAGCCUGAUGCAGCAACGCCGCGUGAGGGACGACGGCCUUCGGGUUGUAAACCUCUUUUAGCAGGGAAGAAGCGAAAGUGACGGUACCUGCAGAAAAAGCGCCGGCUAACUACGUG
rnacentral:rRNA from 1 species